AUGCCUACGGGGGGCAGCAGUGGGGAAUAUUGCACAAUGGGGGAAACCCUGAUGCAGCAACGCCGCGUGAAGGAAGACGGUUUUCGGAUUGUAAACUUCUGUUCUUAGUGAAGAGAAAUGACGGUAGCUAAGGAGCAAGCCACGGCUAACUACGUGCCAGCAGCCGCGGUAAUACGUAGGUGGCAAGCGUUGUCCGGAAUUACUGGGUGUAAAGGGAGCGUAGGCGGCAAGGCAAGUCUGAUGUGAAAACCCAGGGCCCAACCCUGGGACUGCAUUGGAAACUGUAUUGCUUGAGUACCGGAGAG
rnacentral:rRNA from 1 species